rnacentral:rRNA from 1 species
UACGGAGGAUGCAAGCGUUAUCCGGCAUGAUUGGGCGUAAAGCGUCCGCAGGUGGCUAUGUAAGUCUGCUGUUAAAGAGUGAGGCUCAACCUCAUAAGAGCAGUGGAAACUACAUAGCUAGAGUGCGUUCGGGGCAGAGGGAAUUCCUGGUGUAGCGGUGAAAUGCGUAGAUAUCAGGAAGAACACCGGUGGCGAAAGCGCUCUGCUAGGCCGCAACUGACACUGAGGGACGAAAGCUAGGGGAGCGAAUGGG